GUGACGAAGCGACGCCGCGUGUGGGAAGAAGGCCUUCGGGUUGUAAACCACUGUCAGGAGUUAAGAAAUGUAAGGGUGCUAAUAGUAUCCUUACUUGACUAAGGCUCCAGAGGAAGCCACGGCUAACUCUGUGCCAGCAGCCGCGGUAAUACAGAGGUGGCAAGCGUUGUUCGGAAUUAUUGGGCGUAAAGAGCACGUAGGCGGUUCUGCAAGUCGGCUGUGAAAGCCUUCCGCUCAACGGAAGAACAGCAGUUGAUACUACAGGACUAGAGUGCGGGAGGGGAGAGUGGAACUUCUGGUGGAGCGGUGAAAUGCGUAGAUAUCAGAAGGAACGCCGGCGGCGAAAGCGACUCUCUGGCCGUAACUGACGCUGAGUGUGCGAAGCUAGGGAGCAACGGAUAGAUACUCGGUAGUCUAGCGUAAACAU
rnacentral:rRNA from 1 species